AUGGAACUUCUGUUUUUUAUUAACAGAUUUUGGUGUUUUUGCUUGUUUAUUAUAUCCUCUUUUCCUGAGACUUGCUGGUGUGCUUUCUUGUUGGUCCUUUUCUACAUCAAUUACUUUUUCAUGCAGUUUGCGGACGACCUUGUGUGUAUUUGUUUCAAGAGUGCGGUUGUGGCUUGUGGGGUUGUAUAUGCUGCAGCUCGUAGAUUCCAAGUACCUCUUCCUGAAAAUCCACCAUGUUGGAAAGCAUUCGAUGCAGAGAAAUAUGGGAUUGAUGAAGUUUGUAAAGUUUUGGCUCAUCUGUAUAGCCUUCCUAAGGCACAGUAUAUAUCAGUCUGCAGGGAUGGAGAUUUUUCUUCUUCUAACAAGUCGUCAGAUUCACAACUGCAGCCAGUUCCAAAGGCGGAUGGGGCAUUGUGGAUUGCCUAAUGAUGGAGCAAGUAUUGCUGUUGUUUUCAGAUGGGGCAUUGUGGAUUGCCUAAUGAUGGAGCAAGUAUUGCUGUUGUUUUCAGAAAACAAAGCAACCUCGUGUAGUGAUCAGAAAAGGGAUGAGAACUGCAAACAUUGUAGAUAUUUUCUGCAAUUUCAUCCGAGACAGGGAUGCUUCAUUAUAUAAACCAAAUAACUGAAAUUGUGAUCUCAUGUGCUCUUUUAUAGGAACUUCCAUGGAGUGGCCUACCUGCUAAUAAUGAUUCAACUGAAGCAAAGACAGCUCCAAGUGGGAGUGUUGAAUCUGGUGGAUCCAAGGACCUAACAAAGGUUGCCUCAGAAAUGCUGAAGGAACAUAAGAAGAGUGAUGAUAAAUCCAAAGCUCCUUGAGGUAGAGGCAAGAGAAGAGCUCAUUCCAAGAUCGAGGUCUGAGCACAGAACUUAAGCAAGGGUGACAGGAUCAGGGAGAGAGACAGGGACAGUGAGAGAGGGGAGAGAGGGAUAGGGAUAGGAUAAAGGCCCAGGAUCACGAUAGGGGCAGAGAUUCUGUCAGGGAAAGAGAGCGAGAUGAAACUGAAAGAGACAGGGAUAGAGCUAAGGAUCGAGGUCAUCCUCGUUCAAAGGAUAGAGGAAGAGAAUCAGGGCACUCGGAGAAAUCAAGGCAUCAUUCAUCACACGAUCCUUGUUUCCACAGUUUCUCCUUUUCAUCAAGAGAGAAGGAUCGAUAUGGGCAUUAGUCAUAUGCUUGAACUGCCCGUUGGCUAGUGCAUGCAUGCAUUUCCUAUCACUUCCGAGAGAUUUAUGUACCAGCACGGACUACAAAGACACUACCUGUAUGUAUUAACAUGGUUGUUUUACAUAUUUCGUAUGCGUUCCUUUGUGAGGAGGAAAGGAAGAAGAAGAAACAUCAUGUUAGGACAGGAACAAAAAUUAAAAAACACCGAGUUCCAUUUUGCUAGUUCCCUCAACACUAUCCGCUCUGUACUUGAAACUGGGCCUUUCUGUGCAUAUCUUUUUUUAACCCUUUCUUGUAAAUUAUAAGGUGAUCACGUCAUGGUGGUCUGGCUAACCACACCAUUUGAAGAGGAGGGGAUGCUGGUGCUGGUGCUGGUGCUGGGCUCCUGGCUUGAACUUGCUUCUACAGGUAAAUUAAAAAUGGAGGAGAAUAGCAUGACAUGUGAUGCCAUUAAUGCAACCACAAAAAACAUGCCGCUGUAUUAAAUGCGGUGUCUGCCGGGAUCUCGAAAAGAUAACACUUGUUUCCAAAGAAGGUGUUAUCUCUAUCCAUUUCUUGGGUCUUUGUCAUGUAGAUAAUAAAUGUAGUGUAAAGUGUUUUUUAUUUAAA